rnacentral:rRNA from 1 species
CAAGACCUUGCGCUUUUGGAGCGGCCGAUGUCUGAUUAGCUAGUUGGUGGGGUAAUGGCUUACCAAGGCGUCGAUCAGUAGCUGGUCUGAGAGGACGACCAGCCACACUGGGACUGAGACACGGCCCAGACUCCUACGGGAGGCAGCAGUGGGGAAUUUUGGACAAUGGGGGAAACCCUGAUCCAGCCAUGCCGCGUGAGUGAAGAAGGCCUUCGGGUUGUAAAGCUCUUUCAGCUGGAACGAAAAGGUCACGGCUAUACCCGUGACAAAUGACGGUACCGGAAGAAGAAGCACCGGCUAACUACGUGCCAGCAGCCGCGGUAAUACGUAGGGCGCAAGCGUUAAUCGGAAUUACUGGGCGUAAAGCGUGCGCAGGCGGUUUUGUAAGUCAGAUGUGAAAUCCCCGGGCUUAACCUGGGAAUU